UACGUAGGGGGCAAGCGUUGUCCGGAAUCAUUGGCGUAAAGCGCGUGUAGGCGCCAGAAAGUCCGCUGUGAAAACUCGAGGCUCAACUUCGAGCUGUCGGUGGAAACUUUCUGGCUAGAGUCCGGAAGAGGGGAAUGGAAUUCCUGGUGUAGCGGUGAAAUGCGUAGAUAUCUGGAGGAACACCGGUGGCGAAGGCGGCAUCCUGGACCGGCAUUGACGCUGAGGCGCGAAAGCUAGGGAGCAAACGGG
rnacentral:rRNA from 1 species